UCUAUUUUAUCAAUCUUAAAAUACAAAUAUUAUACGUUUAUAUUCUUAUAUAUUCGCGGGAGGAUGUGCGCAGGUACCAUGUUGUACUGCUGAAUUGUAGCCAAUCAAGAAGCAGUGCUGUAAGCAAUUCGAAAUAAUAACGGUUAACCGACAGGAGGCACUGCACAGUCGUUCUGUGGAAUCGUACGUGGUCGGAUGUGCGUCGUGUUGAAGGAUGGCUACAAUGUGGGUAUAUAUCAGUUAGUAAUGAAUGCUGAACAAAAAAUUACAAAGUUAAUCUGUUAAAUUUUGAUAGAAGAAAAUGUAUAAAUACAAAAGAUGUAACAUUUGAUCGAUCAUUGAUUUAUUUAAGAAUAAAUAAAGGUAGCACCCAUGUAUAGAUGUAUAUAUAGAUUCUUAUGGAAUCGAAAGAUUAAACUGCCACGAUUGUUUCAAAUGUAUUCCAGCAAGAGUUAAUUAUAUCCAUAUUACUCAUAUGUCACUGUUACAUUUCAUAAAUUAAAUUGGUACUCAAAGUCUUUGGAUCUCCAGAACCUUGUGCAUGGAUUUCGUGUUAUUCAACUAAAACUAUUCUCCUGUAAGGUACAUCGUUAUAAAUCUUCUCUUAUGUUGGUAUGGUGAGUCUUUAUUUUCUUUAUUACGAAAUGUAUGCAAUCAUGCGUUCUCCUUUUUAUUAUGACGGAUUUAAACGAUGUACUGCAUGCCUUUACCAAUAAAUGUUUAUAAAUAUAAUUAAAAAUGUAAUUAAAAACAUCGGACCAGCGGAGUGAGAUCUCUAUUUAUAACGCGCUGCCUGCGUAUAGAAAAGAGUAAAAAUUACUGUGGCCUUGUCGCAGUUGGCGGUCAAACUCAGAUUUGAGAUUGUUUGUGUCGUGCAUCCCAAUUGUUAACGCCAAUCGUCGCAAUCUUGGGUUCGCAGGUUGAUCGCGCCAUUUCGUUUAGCGAAUGUUUUCCUUUUUUUCUUUGGAUAACUAAUUAGUUACCUGAUUUUAUUUAUUUGUUUGUUUUUUGGAAUUCAUUGGUAUAUAGUUUACAUAAAUAUAACGUAUUCUUUAAAAACGUUUCUUUGUCCAACAAA